AACGAACGCUGGCGGCAGGCUUAACACAUGCAAGUCGAACGCCCCGCAAGGGGAGUGGCGCACGGGUGAGUAACGCGUGGAUAUCUGCCUUUUGGUUCGGAAUAACCCCGGGAAACUGGGGCUAAUACCGGAUGGUUCCUACGGGAUAAAGAUUUAUCGCCAAAAGAUGAGUCCGCGUACGAUUAGCUAGUUGGUGAGGUAAUGGCUCACCAAGGCGACGAUCGUUAGCUGGUCUGAGAGGACGAUCAGCCACACUGGGACUGAGACACGGCCCAGACUCCUACGGGAGGCAGCAGUGGGGAAUAUUGGACAAUGGGGGCAACCCUGAUCCAGCCAUGCCGCGUGAGUGAUGAAGGCCUUCGGGUUGUAAAGCUCUUUUGGCGGGGACGAUGAUGACGGUACCCUCAGAAUAAGCCCCGGCUAACUUCGUG
rnacentral:rRNA from 1 species